rnacentral:rRNA from 1 species
UACGGAGGGUGCAAGCGUUAAUCGGAAUUACUGGGCGUAAAGGGCGCGUAGGCGGUCAGACCAAGUCGAAUGUGAAAUUCCAGAGCUUAACUCUGGACGGUCGUUCGAUACUGGUCGGCUAGAGUGUGGAAGAGGAUGUCGGAAUUCCCGGUGUAGCGGCGAAAUGCGUAGAUAUCGGGAGGAACACCAGCGGCGAAGGCGGGCAUCUGGGCUAACACUGACGCUGAGGCGCGAAAGCUA